UACGAGGGGGGCAAGCGUUGUUCGGAAUUAUUGGGCGUAAAGGGCGCGUAGGCGGUUUGACAAGUCUGAUAUGAAAUCUCUGGGCUCAACCCAGAGUCUGCAUUAGAAACUGUCGGGCUUGAGUAUGGGAGAGGUGAGUGGAAUUUCCGGUGUAGCGGUGAAAUGCGUAGAUAUCGGAAGGAACACCUGUGGCGAAAGCGGCUCACUGGACCAUAACUGACGCUGAGGCGCGAAAGCUAGGGGAGCAAACAGG
rnacentral:rRNA from 1 species